UGGCCACACCCCCAAACCUCAAAUUAUGCAGCAUUAUGGGGGUGUGAGGGAACUUCCCCCAGCACACCCUCCUGUGGAUUCAGCAAAACCGUCCCAGGAGAAGGGAUGAUUUAGAUUCAGAGAACAAGGAUCCCCAUUCCCUCCUUCCCUUUUCCAACCCUCUUUCCUUCUCUUCCUCCUCUCCAUUCUUGCUUUCUUUUUGCUCCCUGGCUCUCUUCUACAGGCCUCCUUCAUGCAGCACGGAUGACCCUGCCAGGACUUCCUGGACCUCAAGGGAGGGAAGAACAAGAAGGUGGCCUCAGAGUGGACAGUGCAGUUGAGAAAACCAACCUGGAAUAGAAAAUCUCCCACGCCAGUCCAGCAUGAGUGUGAGAGUUGGCCAAGAUGGAAGGCUGUGCAGAGCAUGACAAACACACGGGUCACACCCAGCAUGCAACUUUGUGACCCAGCUGGGUCAAAGACUUCUGAAGGCCUAGAAGUGGCAAGGAAGUCCCAUUGGCUUAUGCUCCACCACAGCCCCCUAAAGCCACCUCCCCUGUCUGCUGUGGAUGUGGCUGUGGGAGAGUGGCCAGGCAGGGAGGCAAGACCCAUGAGCCACAGAACACCCAGAGAAGACAGAAGACGACCUCUCCAGGAAAAGGAAGUGUAUUGUGCCUGUAAAUUCCCAGAACUGGAGAAGGGAGAGACAAUAAGCAUCUUUAUUAUCCAAAUUCUAGAGGAAAUGGCUCUG
rnacentral:lncRNA from 1 species